rnacentral:rRNA from 1 species
GUGCCAGCGGUUCGGCCGGGCACUCUAACGGGACUGCCCGCGAAAGCGGGAGGAAGGAGGGGACGACGUCUGGUCAGCAUGGCCCUUACGGCCUGGGCGACACACGUGCUACAAUGCCCACUACAAAGCGAUGCCACCCGGCAACGGGGAGCUAAUCGCAAAAAGGUGGGCCCAGUUCGGAUUGGGGUCUGCAACCCGACCCCAUGAAGCCGGAAUCGCUAGUAAUCGCGGAUCAGCCAUGCCGCGGUGAAUACGUUCCCGGGCCUU